GACGAACGCUGGCGGCGUGCUUAACACAUGCAAGUCGAACGGAAAGACCCUGCUUUUGUGGGGUGCUCGAGUGGCGAACGGGUGAGUAACACGUGAGUAACCUGCCCUUGACUUUGGGAUAACUUCAGGAAACUGGGGCUAAUACCGGAUAGGAGCUCCUGCUGCAUGGUGGGGGUUGGAAAGUUUCGGCGGUUGGGGAUGGACUCGCGGCUUAUCAGCUUGUUGGUGGGGUAAUGGCUUACCAAGGCUUUGACGGGUAGCCGGCCUGAGAGGGUGACCGGCCACAUUGGGACUGAGAUACGGCCCAGACUCCUACGGGAGGCAGCAGUGGGGAAUAUUGCACAAUGGGCGGAAGCCUGAUGCAGCAACGCCGCGUGCGGGAUGACGGCCUUCGGGUUGUAAACCGCUUUCGCCUGUGACGAAGCGUGAGUGACGGUAAUGGGUAAAGAAGCACCGGCUAACUACGUG
rnacentral:rRNA from 1 species